rnacentral:lncRNA from 1 species
AUCAACACUCCCCCUCAAGCUUGACACAUGUAGGUAUCAAGCUUGGAAACCAUGAAGCAUUUCCUCAUUAAAACUUUAGCUUGGAAAAAUCACAUGGGAUAAAAACCAAGCUAAGGAAAAAGAGUAGAACACUUCAUGGCUAAGGAUCAGUGUGAUGGGAGAUCCACGAGUCCCAACUUAGAAUGUAUGAAUUCACAAACCUUAGUGCUUGCAGCAUUGGUAAAGAUGUCAGCCAGCUGAUCUUCACUUCUU